rnacentral:rRNA from 1 species
AAGCGUACACGGUGGAUGCCCUGGCAGUCAGAGGCGAUGAAGGACGUGCUAAUCUGCGAUAAGCGCCGGUAAGGUGAUAUGAACCGUUAUAACCGGCGAUUUCCGAAUGGGGAAACCCAGUGUGACUCGUCACACUAUCAUUAACUGAAUCCAUAGGUUAAUGAGGCGAACCGGGGGAACUGAAACAUCUAAGUACCCCGAGGAAAAGAAAUCAACCGAGAUUCCCCCAGUAGCGGCGAGCGAACGGGGAGGAGCCCAGAGCCUGAAUCAGCAUGUGUGUUAGUGGAAGCGUCUGGAAAGGCGCGCGAUACAGGGUGACAGCCCCGUACACAAAAGCGCAUGUGCUGUGAGCUCGAUGAGUAGGGCGGGACACGUGGUAUCCUGUCUGAAUAUGGGGGGACCAUCCUCCAAGGCUAAAUACUCCUGACUGACCGAUAGUGAACCAGUACCGUGAGGGAAAGGCGAAAAGAACCCCGGCGAGGGGAGUGAAAAAGAACCUGAAACCGU